rnacentral:rRNA from 1 species
AUGGCCACCUUCUUCCUAUCGCACGGCGGCCCCACGCUCUGCGUCGAUGAGACGAUCCCGGCGUGGAGCUUCUUCAAGUCCUGGCUGCCCGCGGCGGUCGCGGGCGCGCAGCCGCCGCGUGCCAUCCUGGUGGUAUCGGCCCACUGGGAGACGGCCAUGCCGGCGGUCAACGUCGUUCCCGGCAUCAACGACACCAUACACGACUUCUCCGGGUUUCCCGAGUCCAUGUACCAGCUGAAGUACCCUGCUCCUGGCGCCCCCGAUCUGGCCAUGAGGACCAAAGAGCUCCUCGAACAAGCCGGGUUCGGUCCCGUGGAGGAACACCACGGCCGUGGGCUCGACCACGGUGCAUGGGUGCCGCUGAUGCUGAUGUACCCGGAGGCUGACAUCCCGGUGUGCCAGCUCUCGGUUCAUGCCGGCCGCGACGGCACCUACCAUUACAACCUCGGCAAGGCGCUGGCUCCCCUCAGAGCGGACGGCGUCCUCGUCCUCGGCUCCGGGAGCGCGACGCACAACCUGAGCAAAAUGACACUUUACGAGGCGCCGGUGCCGCAAUGGGCCUCCGACUUCGACACCUGGCUUGAGGAUUCGCUCAUGGGUGGAAGGUACGACGACGUGAACCGCUACGAUGAGAGGGCGCCCUACGGCAAGGUGGCGCACCCAUCACCGGAACAUUUUCAUCCGCUGCACGUCGCGCUCGGCGCCGCGGGGGACGAGUCCAAGGCGGAGCUGAUCCACCGUAGCUGGACCAACACCAACCACUCGUAUGCGUCGUAUCGUUUCACCGAGAAGAACUGA